rnacentral:lncRNA from 1 species
CAAACACAAGCUCUAGUGGAUUACUAUAAACAGUAAAUCUUUUAGAAUGCUUUAAUUUUUUAGAUUUCAUAAUACAACAAUUCUGACAUGAUUUAUGAAUUGUUUUUACAUCUGAUACUACUAUCAUUUUGUUUCUAUUAAGAUCCUCCACUGCCCUUGAAUGUAGAUGCCUUAGCCUCAAGUGUCAAGUUCGGGUUGUGUCUUUCAUCCCCAUCUCCACUUGGUUAGCCUGCAUUCCUUUAUUCUUCAUACAAAUUGGUAUCCAAUGCAAUCUUGCCGUCGAGGUAAGGUGAUAAUCCAUUCCCUCUCAUUGCACCAAGAAAUUGCGUUCUCCAAGCAAAAUAAUUUCCACGAUCCAAUGCCACUGUUUUUGGUGAUUUGAUGUUGAUAACUUUUGUUGUAGUAUCAAUUGUCACCUUAACUGUCGGCUCCACAUCCUUCAGAAAAAUCGACAUGAUUGAGCAGCGGAACAAAUCAAUCUAGUCGAGCGCAAGGAUGGAUCGAGCAAAUUUCUCCCUAAUCGAUCAGAAUUCUGAUCGAUUUUAACCACCUUCCCUGGAUCAGAUGUUAGCGACUGAUACCAUAUGAAUGAUUUGAGCAGAGAAAGGUCUGAAAAUGGGGGAGAUCUAAAAGUGAUCGAUUCCACCUAAAAUGUUAUUGAUUAGUUUAUAUACAUUUUAGGUGGAUUGAGAUCUAACAAAAUUAUAGAUCUAAAUCUCAGAAGUUUCUAGAUCUAAUUAGUUAAUUACAAAUUUAUUAACUAAUUACACAAAUACCCUUAGAAUAUCACUAAUAGAUUUAGAAUCAUACUAGCGAUUCGAUAUUUAAAAGUUUGGGUGUUGUUAACUGGCUCGUUGUGGGUUUAAUUUAGAGAGUGGGUUUUAAUAAUUUUGGGUAUGGGCUUGAGUGAUGUUUUGUACAGGACAAUCCUGCUAACCGGCUCUUCAGACCAAAUCAAAGAACUCGGUUGGUAAGAGAUGUUGUGGGGAUGUCGUGUUUCUUUCCGUGUCGGGUGGUGAAUGGCGGGAAUGAGCUUAUAGACAGUUAAUGGAACUCUCUGCUAUAAAGCAGGGACAAAGCUUGUAGAGUUUUUUUUCGUGAAUAACAAAUAUUGAUUGAAUAAAUGAAUAUCUUCUUCUUAUCCCUUCACUUUUUAUAGCAUGCUAGGCAAGGUUUAAAAACCGACGGUUAAUAGGCUGACCGGUAAAUUAGUGCUAACCAAUGACCGGUUAGUGGUUUCGGGUAUUUGUGUCGGAUCCAACCCGAAUACCCGAUCCGUUUUAAAGGUUUAAAGGCUAUGUAGAAGACUACAAUUUCUUGAAAACUACUAUUUUACUAUCAAG